AAUUAAAAAAAUAGGCGCUAUAUUUUCCCUCUUCUCCCCCCAAGCUCACCCUACGCCUGCCCCACUCUCCCUCCAAAAAGACCCUCAGUCUAUUGUUGAUCAAAACCUGAAAUUGCUAUCAAAAAUUUAUGUGAGAAGAGAAAAACAUUUGUCACCUCCGCCGGCAUCAACUGCUCAUAUUAGAGUUUCUUCUCAUCAAGAUUCAGUCGUUCUCCAGUUGGGUUUUCAAAAAUUUAGAGCCUUAGAAGGAUAAAUCUCAAUGCGUGAAAAUUAGGCAGUGGUUUUGACGAUCGAAGCUUAACAGUGAUUUGCAUUUUUUGGGUGUUACCAUAUAAAGGUAUUUCUAUUGAGUUUUAGAUAUCAGUUUGGUGUUUGAGUUUUUGCUUCACUUAAUUGUUAUGUUUCCAGUUCACAACUUGUAGCAACAAAUCUUGUGAUGGCUCUUUUUACUUUGUUUAAUUUUUCAAAAUCUCUUAUAGAGAAUUGUUGUCCAGUAUUUGCGGAAAUGAUUAGUUCAUUUUUUUUCUUAGAUUGAUCAGUAUAAUAGGUGUUUAAGUUGUAAAAGCAUUCAAGCACUUGUCAUUAUAGUGAACUGUUGUUACUCUUUCAACUCUGAAAGAGGUGCAUGACUAAUGUUUAGGUUGCUGAGGUAUCGAUUUCACUGAAUCCAGUAGCCGACCUUCUUUGCUGUUUUCCCUUGUUGGUUACUUGAUAUAAAGGUCAUCUCUUGGAAAGAAAGAGAAUGACAUUUUUCUUCCAAAACACGGCUUGUAACUUUCAUAUGAUGUGAUUCAGCUGGUAGAGCUGAUGGACAAUUACUCUGAUACAACCAAGUUGAAAUGUCGAGCUUGCAAAUUAUCAUGGAGUUUAAAAUGUGAAGUCUUAACUGCUAUUUUUAGUGAAAGAUUGAGAAAAUCGAUUAUCUGCGAUGGGACAUAUUAUUUUUCUUUAUUGUAUAACAUAAAUUAAGUUCUAUUAUACGGGAAAAAUAAUGAUUCAUUUUAUUGAAAUGGUACGUCUCUGCAUGUCAUAUCUCAUCGAUCAUAUAUGCAUGUGUGUUCUUCAAUGUGGCUCCUUAUCUUUUUAUAUUUCACCUGCUUGGGUUGAUUGCUCAGACCACUUUUGUAUGAAGGAAACAUAUGGAAAUGAAUCUUCUGAUUCUAGUAAUGAAGAUUUUGAGGGUGGUCCUUCACCCAAGGAGAGAGAGAGAGAUCAAAAGUGCCAAAGCUACUAUGACUUCUCCUAGUUCGACUUUAGCAGAUACAAAGUACCAAAGUGGGUAGCAGAAAGGGAGUAGACAUGCUUCUGAUAGGGGUCUCUGUGAGAAACUCAAAAUUGGAGGCAUAGACACCUCUGAACUUCAUUCAAGUGGUAAAAAGAAAACAUAUAGGGAAGGUGCCAUCAAGCUCAAUCAUUUUGGGGUUUCAGAGGCUCUACGAAUCCUUCAAGGAAAAUCAGUAUCCUGACCGUGAUGCAAAUGAGAAGUUGAGUAAAGAAUUAGGCCUAACAGCUCACCAGGUUUUAUGAGUUCUCCCUGGCAUAUGUUAAUUUCAGCUUCGUCCGCAUUUUCUCCACCUGUAUCUUCAAUUUUGCUUUGUUGCUGCCUUCUUUUUCCUUAGUUUCUUUUUGUCAAAUAUACAAGUCAGUAAAUGGUUUGAAAGUGCUCGUCAUUGCCAUCGUCAUUCUUCUCGCUAGGACUCAAUUAUGAGUUAAAAAGUAAGAAUAUCCUUCCUCACCAAAUAUAAUGGGAGAACUACUUGGAAUUGAAUCUCUAUAUAUGGUAAAGUUAAAGUUGAACAGAGUAGCAUUUCUUAUGUAAUGUUGGGAUAAAUAUAAAAUGUGCAUUUGUUUUCUGCUCUAUGAGCUAUUUACAUUACCAACAAGAAAACAAAUCAAAUAAAUUGUUAGUAACUCAUGAAAGGGGAACACUUUUAGAUGUUUAAACUUCUGAACAUUCUUCCAAUCUUGCGUUGUCUGCCUUUAAAGUGAACGUCUUAAUUCUUUUAGUGUUUCCUCCCGAGUAAUGAAUUAUAUUGUUCCUUGAACCUUGCUUUAAACUUGUUUUUUUUUUUUUAAUUAUGCCUAAUCUUUGCUUUACAUUAUCCACGUGAGAUAACUGCCGGGAGUCUGAAUUUAGUAUUAGAUUCUGCACCCUCCUGUUAUUUGGAUGACAAUAUAUGGACCUGAAAAGGCCAAGAUCUUUUCAUUAUGCAUUGUUGUGCUUUUUGUAUAUUUUAUUUAUGUUGUUGUAUAUUUUGAAGCUAAGUCACUUAUACGCAUCAAUCAACUAUGCCCAUAGUAACUAGUUUUGAUCAUACUUUCCCGUCUAUUUGAUUCUAAUUCUAACUGGAUUCACAAGAAUCCUAGGAGAUUGUAGCUCCAUGGAAUCAUAUUUUAGCUUUAAAAUUUUGAUAAAUUAUUCUGUGACCAGAGUAUCAAUUUGAGCCUUGCUUCUUGAGAGGCAUAUUUAUCACUACUAAGUAGUUGGGAAGCGUCACGCCUCAUUUAUAAGACAGUUAGGUGUAUUUGUUCGUGAUCAUUAAAUGUGUCCAUUGAGGGUAUACUCAUGGGCGGACAUCGAAGAAGAUAAGCUGGAACAGAGGAAGCUAUUACUGUAAGGAUUUAGAGCAUCAUUUUCUUGAUUUAUUUUUCAAGCUUGAUGCAUGUCAAAUAACUUGUGUUUGUUGCUGGUUGUGAACAUUAUAUGUGAGACCUUGGACUCACUCUUUUUUCCAUCUUUACAGCCACGCGCCAACAAUCUUUCCAUUCCCAAAAUAUUUCAUCUUUUUAGACACCCAUACUCACUAAUCUGGUUUCUUUCAGUGGUUGUGGGGAUUAUUAUGCUUGAUGCUCUAAAAUCCUUGUAGUAUUAAUCUUUUGUUUCAUAAUAUUUGUAUUUUUAAUUAUUAUGCUCGCUGCAUUAAUGGAGAUUGAGACUAUCAUCAGAUGCUUUAAAUGAGAAUUACUUAAUUAGAAGUUGUGUAUUAAUCUUCUGAAGUAGCUUGAAAGUCUUACUUUCUUAUGCUCCGCUAAAGGUAGAUGAUACUUAUUUAUUUGUUUAUUUUCUUAUUUUAGAAGGGAGAUGGCUUUAUUUUUGGAUUCCGGAUAUAUACAGUAUAAAGAAAAGUUGUUUGUUCUAUGUUCAAUUCUUACCUUAGUGGGGAAAUCGAUAGCAUGUUCAUAUUGUUAGUCUUCUUUUCCUUUUGGCUUGUGUUAGGGUAUCCUGACUGGAUUUUUUAGUUAGUUUUAUUUGAUUAUUAGCAAUUAGAGUCUAGUAUUUAGUGAUGCUACCGUGAUGUAUUUUCAUAUGUCCUGUAUUUUUCUAAGCAGGUACUUUAGAACUUCUAAGAUCAUAAGUAAUUGUAAUUGUAAGGUAUUGUCAUCUCUCCAAUGAGAAAGUAAAAAAGGAAUAACCAUAAAAAAGAAUACAAAUUCAGAAUUUGCAUAAAAGUCUUAGAAAAUGAAUUACCAAAAUGAUUUUGGAAUUGUUUGUGUCUCCGUAAAAAGAAAUUAAAUGAGUCUUUCAAGUCCCUUGGUGGAGUUUGCAGCCAGUUUGUAUAGCAGUUUGAUUAAAGAAGAUAUUGAAGCUUUAUUAUUAUUAGUAUCAUUUACGUUUCUUAAUUUGUAAUUUGUUAUAAUGAGAUCUGACAUUUUGUUCACUUUUGUCAUGGACCUACUGGAGGCAAUUUGAUCAAGAAGGCUAUAUAGUUCUAAUACAAGUCAUAUACGAGUAAAGCGUAGCAGAUCAAGAAUUUGGAAGUUCGAAGUAUCAAUUCUUGAAACAGUGCAGAGCAAAAAGUUGAAAUACAAGAAAUUUAUUUUCUUAGGGGUGGUUUAAAGACGUUUUAUGUACAUUGAACGCAUUUUCUCUUUUUAGGAGUUGUUAAAACAUUGCCAUACAAUUUGGACUGUUUUAUUAUUCAUAUGAAUAUUGAUUAUUUAAUAUA